UACGGGGGGAGCAAGCGUUGUUCGGAUUUACUGGGCGUAAAGGGCGCGUAGGCGGUCAUGACAAGUCACUUGUGAAAUCUCCGGGCUUAACUCGGAACGGUCAAGUGAUACUGUCAGACUAGAGUGCAGAAGGGGCAACUGGAAUUCUCGGUGUAGCGGUGAAAUGCGUAGAUAUCGAGAGGAACACCUGCGGCGAAGGCGGGUUGCUGGGCUGACACUGACGCUGAGGCGCGAAAGCUAGGGGAGCGAACGGG
rnacentral:rRNA from 1 species